rnacentral:rRNA from 1 species
GCAGGGGAUUUUGGGCAAUGGGCGAAAGCCUGACCCAGCGACGCCGCGUGGGGGAAGAAGGCCUUCGGGUCGUAAACCCCUUUUCCAGGGGAAGAGGAAGGACGGUACCUUGGGAAGAAGCCCCGGCCAACUACGUGCCAGCAGCCGCGGUAAUACGUAGGGGGCGAGCGUUACCCGGAAUCACUGGGCGUAAAGGGCGCGUAGGUGGCCUCAUUAGUCGUGGGUGCAAGCCUUGGGCUUAACCCAAGAACCGCUUACGAGACGGUGAGGCUAGAGGGCAGUAGAGGCGAGUGGAAUUCCCGGAGUAGCGGUGGAAUGCGUAGAGAUCGGGAGGAACACCAGAGGCGUAGGCGACCCGCUGGGCUGUCCCUGACGCUGAGGCGCGAAAGCGUGGGGAGCAAACAGG